UUCCUACAUCCGUAGAAAAUCUCGUCUCUUUGAAAGAAAUGAAUUUAAGUUAUUGCAAGGAACUGUCAAUCCUUCCAUCUAGCAUUUAUCGGUUGGGACAGCUUGUAACACUACGGCUUGAACGGUGCUUAAAACUAACCAAGUUUCCAACGAAAGAGGAGGAUUUAAGCGAUCACCAUAUGAAGAUGGGAUUGCCUAAGUUACGGCUUUUGGAACUUUAAGAAUGCAAUCUAUCAGAGGCAGAUUUCCUGGAGAAUCCUUCAUGCUUUCCCUCCUUAAAUUCUUUAUAUUUGCAGGGAAACAAUUUUGCUAGCCUUCCUUCAUGCAGACAUCUAUAUAAUCUGGAAUCUUUGAGACUUAACUGGUGCGAUCAACUACAAGAGAUCCUCGGGAUUCCAGAGCAAUUGGGAUCGCUAUGGCAAUUGGUUGCGAAUCUCUAAGUAAAAUUCCCUUCGACAUAGGUUAAGUUAACCAUAUAAACUUAAGUUCAUGUCAUGAACUGGUCUCCAAUGGGUCAGCCAUCUAAGAUUUGUUCAAGCUUGAGGUUAGACUCUCUCUCUCUCUCUCUCUCAUAAAUUUGGAGUCGUGUGAACAUGUAGGCUGCAUCGAGUUUUUGUAUACUGCAGAAGGCUGAAGAUCCUAGAUUGUCGGGCUAAUUAAGAAAAGCAAACAUACAGAAAGUGAUUCUGGUGGUUGCUAUAAGGCAACGCAAAGGAUAUUCGCUCUAUUUAUACAACUCUAGUACGUUCUGGAGUAACAAGCAUCAUCCAAUUAAACCUUCAAUCAAUACAUGCUCAUCCAUUUACAAAAUUUUCAACAACACGUGUCUUGUUUCCACCAAUUAAGUACCAGAAAUUUUUGUAAUGAGAUUGCUAACUGUAGCUAAACUCUAGGACUACCCACUUAACUCAUUGUAACUCCUCUUUUUAGGUGCCAAUUUGAAAAAAUGUCUAACUACAUCUUUGACAGCAUGCUCUUCCUGGAAAUAGAUGUAUUGAUGUUACUCUACCUGGAGGAGAGAUGCCAGAGUGGUUGCUCCCUAACAGUGAUGGCCAUAUAUCCUUCGUGGCUUCAAAGGACUUGUUGAAGAAGUUUCUGGGAUUAGCUUUCUGUGUUGUAUUCCGAGCAAAAGAUGGAACAGACAGUUUCAGCUUUCAGUUGAAUUCAUCCAUUAAUAGCAGCAAAUGGACGAGCAGCGGUUUCAGUUGUUCCAUCUCGGAUUCGGAUCAUGCGUAUCUUCAUUAUAUGCCCCAUCAUGGUUUCAGUGGCAAGAAGUAAAGGCUUUUGGUCCAAAUGACUGGAUAUGUUUCCAGUUCACCACUCGAGCAUCAGCUCAUGGAAUUGUGAAAAAAUGUGGAUUUCGACUAUUGUGGAAGCCACUGGAGAAUGAUUUGGAGGAUUUCCUUCAACAUAAUUAGUUGCUGGAUCCAGCUUUACUCUACGAGGUUCGGCAUGAAGAGAGUCAAACGAGCAUGGAGGAAGAAAGUUCGAGUGAGACAAAAGAGUUACAAGAUAGCAAAACUAGGGCAGAGGAAGAUAGUUCAAGCAAAUUGGUCCACACAGAAUCGAACAUGGCUGACUUCUCAAUUGAGAAGCUUUGCUAUUCCCUAAUUCAUCCUGAUUACCGAAAUGUUCGUCCUAGAGGAGACAUGCCAAAGGAGUUCGUCCUUGUUGAAGAUGGUACCGUAUCUUUCAAGGUUUCAUAAAACUGGUAUGACAAGUUCCUAGGAUUGGCUCUUUGUGCAGUUUUCGGUGUAGAAAAUGGGAAAAAGGAAGUUUCUUUUGACAUCGUGCCAUAUGUUGACGGCCAAAAGCGGAAUGGGCUAUCAGAAACUCUUGGUUCAUUUGAUUCGGAUCACAUGUGGAUUCAGUAUGUCAAAUCAAAUGUGUCGUGGAGAUUGCUGGAGGGAGGAGUUGAUUUUUGUCAAUUUAACGAGAGAUAUGUACAAUUCAGCCUUCGACUUGAAGUAUCAGGUGGAACGAUGAAAAAGUUGGGAUAUGUGAUAAGAUGCAGGCAACUAGAGGAUGAUUUGAAGGAUGUUCUCAAAGAUAAUCAAUCAGUGAAUUUAGCUUCACUCUGUGAAGAUUCUCAUGGACCGGUAGAUUCGUGGUUGGAGAUUCCAUCUGGUUCUAGACGUCGUCUUCCAAGAGAAUACUUACGCAAAUGUGACAUGCAUAUAGAGGAAUUGGAAGCCAAUGACAGCGAAACAGAUCAAACGGGGAGUGGGGAGUAUAGUAGUGAAACAGAUUAAAUGAACAUUUUAUGGGGGUCUAGUUUCGUUGGAUAGCUUCGUCAACACUUGAGGGAAGAAGGUUACUACUUCCUUUUUAUUAUUA